rnacentral:other from 1 species
UAUCCCCUGCGAUGUGCGUGAUUAACAUUCGUUUUUUGAGCCAACACCUUGGAACCGGGGGCCUUUCCUUGUCGUCGUGAGCAUGUCCGCCGGCAGUCCGCGGCUGCGGAUGGCGGAAAGCCUGAAGCGGCAAUAUUAGGCGCCCAUUUUUCAAAAGGUUCAAAAAGGUGGUUAACACGGCAUGUGUGGGGGUUUU